rnacentral:rRNA from 1 species
AUGCCGCAGGGCGGCGAGGUGCACCCAUGCGUCGGCUUUUGGAUGGGCUACCUCCGCUGCAUGCUGCGCAACCGCAUGUCCCUCUACUUCGUCCUCGCCGGCGUCGACCACGACGGCAACGCCGACUCGCCGCUCGCGGCCGACGAGGGAGGCCUGGUGACAGAGCUGAUCUCGUGCCUGGAGGCCGUGCUGGAGGAGCAGUCCGCCGCGCUCGCAUUCCCAGGGCUGAGGCACAUCUUCAUGCUCAACAACACGAGCGCCAUCCUGCGCCGCGCCGUGCGCUCCGACCUCAGCAUGCUCCUGCCGCCCGGCUGGGUGCUCGCCCGCGAGGAGCGCAUGGAGGGCUACAUCAAGGCUUACCUGCAGGUUUCCUGGGGGACCGUCGUGUCGCGCCUUGACGGGAAGCCGAGAGCCCUGAACACCCUCCGGCGAAGGAACCCGCUGAGCGCAUUUUACCUGGCGUUGGAGAACGCGUGCAGCAUGCAGAGAGGCUGGAAGGUGCCCAGCCCGGCGCUGCGGGCCGCCCUCCGGAGUACCGUGUCGGGGAAUGUCGUACCGGCAUACCGUCGGUACCUCAACGACCACCCGGAGGUUGAGGUGCCGGCAGGGCGCACCGCGGAGGAGCUGGAGAAUCAGUUGUCGAAGCUGUUCGAGGGAUAG